UCAUAAAAUAUACAGUUUCACUAAAUAAAUUGCUCCAUUUAGAAGAUCCAAGUCCUUAUAGAAGAUGGUUUGUCUCAGAGGAGUGAAUCUGAGAACACGGAGUGAAAUGGUUUGAACUGCCAUCAUAUAGUAUCUAUUGGUAUCAGAUAUUUUUGCAUAUCACUAAUUUACUUUGUGUUCUCAGGUCACCCCUUUGAGCCAACCUGUUUACCCUGCAAAUCAAAAUGAACUUUUUCUUAGUCAUUGUUAUUUAUUAUCUCCAAUGUUAAUGGUUUCAUAUUCCAUGCAAUAUUACAGGUUGCAUUUGUGGUCUAUUUUAAUUGUAUUGCAGAAAUUGCUGUUGAUUUUAAUAAGUUUUCAAUAAAAAUUGCAGGUUGCAUUUAUGAUUGAUUUUUAAUCAGAUUUCAGAAAAUGUUACAGGUUGCAUUUGUGUAGAUGGUGGAAAUGUGUGGCAGCAUCAAAUUAGCACAAUUCUAACGGGGCCCAGAUAGAAGAAAAAUAAAAUUCGCUUAUUUAAUUCCUUACUCAUUGAAUUGUAAUGUCAUAAUUCUUUUUGAUAUCACAGCAAGCCUAUUCUUGUAAAAAUGAAAUAUUCCAAGGCAA
rnacentral:lncRNA from 1 species